AACGAACGCUGGCGGCAUGCCUAACACAUGCAAGUCGAACGAGAUCUUCGGGUCUAGUGGCGCACGGGUGCGUAACGCGUGGGAAUCAGCCCUUUGGUUCGGAAUAACAGUUGGAAACGACUGCUAAUACCGGAUGAUGACGAAAGUCCAAAGAUUAUCGCCAGAGGAUGAGCCCGCGUAGGAUUAGCUAGUUGGUGUGGUAAAGGCGCACCAAGGCGACGAUCCUUAGCUGGUCUGAGAGGAUGAUCAGCCACACUGGGACUGAGCACACGGCCCAGACUCCUACGGGAGGCAGCAGUGGGGAAUACUGAACAAUGGGCGAAAGCCUGAUCCAGCAAUGCCGCGUGAGUGAUGAAGGCCUUAGGGUUGUAAAGCUCUUUUACCCGGGAUGAUAAUGACAGUACCGGGAGAAUAAGCUCCGGCUAACUCCGUGCCAGCCGCCGCAGUAA
rnacentral:rRNA from 1 species